rnacentral:rRNA from 1 species
GAUGAACGCUAGCGGCAGGCCUAACACGUGCAAGUCGAGGGGUAGAGGAAGCUUGCUUCCUUGAGACCGGCGCACGGGUGCGUAACGCGUAUGCAAUCUACCUUAUACAGAGGGAUAGCCCAGAGAAAUUUGGAUUAAUACCUCAUAGUAUUAUGAAAUCGCAUGGUUUUAUAAUUAAAGUUCCAACGGUAUAAGAUGAGCAUGCGUCCCAUUAGUUAGUUGGUAAGGUAACGGCUUACCAAGACAAUGAUGGGUAGGGGUCCUGAGAGGGAGAUCCCCCACACGGGUACUGAGACACGGACCAGACUCCUACGGGAGGCAGCAGUGAGGAAUAUUGGUCAAUGGACGCAAGUCUGAACCAGCCAUGCCGCGUGCAGGAUGACGGUCCUAUGGAUUGUAAACUGCUUUUAUACAGGAAGAAACACUCCCUCGUGAGGGAACUUGACGGUACUGUAGGAAUAAGGAUCGGCUAACUCCGUGCCAGCAGCCGCCGUAAAAC